UUCUUCCUUGGAAACCCAAUCUUACUGUUUGCUUUACUCAACCUGUCUUAUCAUUGCAGCUUCCUCUUUCCCAUGCCUCUUCAAUCUUAGUCUGUCUUUUACUUCCUUCUUCCCCUUUUCUCCCUCCUCAUUUCUCACCAAACUGCGCUUCAUCUUCAUCUUUCCAUUUUCCUCUUCUGUCUUCUAAUCUUCUUCGUUCUUCCUUUUUUUUCUUCUGUCUUCUACGACAUGACUUUAUGAUUUCAAAAACAAAUCUACAUUUGUAAUUAACAAUAUUGCUAACGAAACUCUAGCCGAAGGGAAAAGAAUGGCUCGAAGUCUUCCUAUAGAUGUCAGUUUGCUUUCGUCGCAUUUGUGACCGGCAUCCACCGUUUGGGGUCUAAAUAAUCCACAUCUGCUGAUUCAAUGGUUAUUACGGAGAGGUUGUCCAAGGAAGAAAUUGGUUGUUUAAAAGAGUGUAGAUUUCAAAUUUGGAGUGGCAUGCCCUUUUGAUUGAUAACUCAAAUAACAGGUAAUAGUUAGUUUGGAGUAACUUUGUAAGUUUUAAUUUUAAGCUAUAUUUGAUUGAAUUCUUUAAGGGCUAAUGUGUUAGUUUAUUUUACACUUUCUUUAUUGCACGCAUGGUGUUUGAUAAAAUGUCUCAGCAAAGGAGAAAGGGAGUCGGUGAACGGGCAUAUGGCAACUUAUUUCUUUGUUUCACAAGUUUUAACAAAUGCAGUAAUUUUGUUAAAAUGAGCAUCAAGCACGCGUACGCAUCGAGCAAACAAGGGGAGGUUGUUUAGA